UGGAGCAGAUGAUGCAAAUCAAAUUUCUUAUCCUACACUCUGAAAUCCUUUGAGGACUUCUAAAUUCCGCUUAUUGUCUGAUGCUCUG